rnacentral:rRNA from 1 species
GACGAACGCUGGCGGCGUGCUUAACACAUGCAAGUCGAACGAAGAGCGACGGAAGCUUGCUUCUAUCAAUCUUAGUGGCGAACGGGUGAGUAACGCGUAAUCAACCUGCCCUUCAGAGGGGGACAACAGUUGGAAACGACUGCUAAUACCGCAUACGAUCUAACCUCGGCAUCGAGGAUAGAUGAAAGGUGGCCUCUACAUGUAAGCUAUCACUGAAGGAGGGGAUUGCGUCUGAUUAGCUAGUUGGAGGGGUAACGGCCCACCAAGGCGAUGAUCAGUAGCCGGUCUGAGAGGAUGAACGGCCACAUUGGGACUGAGACACGGCCCAGACUCCUACGGGAGGCAGCAGUGGGGAAUCUUCCGCAAUGGACGAAAGUCUGACGGAGCAACGCCGCGUGAGUGAUGACGGCCUUCGGGGUGUAAAGCUCUGUUAAUCGGGACGAAAGGCCUUCUUGCGAAUAGUGAGAAGGAUGGACG